GUGACGGAACGUAGCGUGGAACGGCAGUCAGCGUCACGAGGACUCAUUUCGAACGUGCGCCAGCGACAGUAAUGGAUGAUGUGGCAUCAUGCGCUUUGUAUCGGUAUUUAAUGUAGUGCAACGUGAUUACGCGCUCCCAAGAAAUAUGAAUCGAGGCUGACGAGGUUUCUCUGGGUUUCUGUACAUCUGGGCUGUUCCAUUCCAGUAUUUAGUUAUAUAAGGGAUGUCACUGUGUAACCUAGUACCGUAUUUCUCUUAUGAGUAAAUUGUGUAGAGCAGGGUUUUCAACUCUUUCUUCCAGAGGUUGUAUUAUUAUUUUUUUUAAACUGUGCAAACGGGCCAAACAUUUUUCAUAUGCUGUUUAUAAAACAAUAUAUGAACAGGAUGUUUUGUAUAUGUGUGUAUACAAAGUAAAACCAUAGUUUAAGUAUGCAUAGUUAAUACUUACUAUUCUGUCACUAGUGGGAGGUAUGUUAACAUGAUGCAGAUACAGAUCUGGAUAUAGUCUCAAUAGUCACAAGGAUACAUCUGAAUUUCUCUGACCCACCCUAGUGUACAGUGACAUAAUGGCACUAGAGGUCAUAGAUCAUGGAGCUUGCUCAGAGUUAACAGAAUAGGACAAGGAGGUUUAUCGAAACAGUAGUGGUGGUUACAUUCAGAUAUAGCAAAAGUGUGCACACUAAAAGCCUGUAGAAAUGCAACUAAUAUAAAUAUUUGUGUGCGCAAUCAAAACAGAAAAAAAAUCAAAGCUUUGUAUCAAAGUGCGAUCUUCAGCGUCGAGAACAGUGUAUUUACAUUUGACUGUAAUUCUUCAAAAUUAAAUAAAAUGAAAAUCUCACUGCA